rnacentral:sRNA from 2 species
UAAAAAGUUUUCUAGGGUUCCGUGGCUGUUUAGCAGCCAGACUGUGACCGAGAGAAAACGCACAAGCCGCGCUUGUGUACACGGAGGGAUAAAAGCCCGGGAGGA